rnacentral:rRNA from 1 species
UACGUAGGGGGCAAGCGUUGUCCGGAAUCAUUGGGCGUAAAGCGCGUGUAGGCGGUCCGGUAAGUCUGGUGUGAAAACUUGAGGCUCAACCUCAAGCUGUCACUGGAUACUGUCGGACUUGAGUCUGGAAGAGGAGAGUGGAAUUCCUGGUGUAGCGGUGGAAUGCGCAGAUAUCAGGAGGAACACCAAUGGCGAAGGCAGCUCUCUGGUACAUGACUGACGCUGAGACGCGAAAGCGUGGGUAGCAAACAGG